rnacentral:rRNA from 1 species
GACGAGGGGUCCAAGCGUUGUUCGGAAUCAUUUGGGCGUAAGCGGGUGUAGGUGGCUCUGUAAGUCAGGAGUGAAAGCCCCGAGCUUAACUUGGGAAGUGCUUUUGAUACUGCAGAACUUGAGUGUGGGAGAGGAUCGUGGAAUUCCAGGUGUAGUGGUGAAAUACGUAGAUAUCUGGAGGACACCGGUGGCGAAGGCGGCGAUCUGGCCCAACACUGGACACUG